AACGAACGCUGGCGGCAUGCCUAACACAUGCAAGUCGAACGAAGCCUUCGGGCUUAGUGGCGCACGGGUGCGUAACGCGUGGGAAUCUGCCCUUGGGUUCGGAAUAACAGUUAGAAAUGACUGCUAAUACCGAAUGAUGUCUUCGGACCAAAGAUUUAUCGCCCAAGGAUGAGCCCGCGUCGGAUUAGCUAGUUGGUGAGGUAAAGGCUCACCAAGGCGACGAUCCGUAGCUGGUCUGAGAGGAUGAUCAGCCACACUGGGACUGAGACACGGCCCAGACUCCUACGGGAGGCAGCAGUGGGGAAUAUUGGACAAAUGGGCGAAAGCCUGAUCCAGCAAUGCCGCGUGAGUGAUGAAGGCCUUAGGGUUGUAAAGCUCUUUUACCCGGGAUGAUAAUGACAGUACCGGGAGAAUAAGCCCCGGCUAACUCCGUGCCAGCAGCCGCGGUAAU
rnacentral:rRNA from 1 species